AUUGAACGCUGGCGGCAGGCCUAACACAUGCAAGUCGAGCGGUUGACGGGAGCUUGCUCCCUGAUUCAGCGGCGGACGGGUGAGUAAUGCCUAGGAAUCUGCCUAUUAGUGGGGGACAACGUUUCGAAAGGAACGCUAAUACCGCAUACGUCCUACGGGAGAAAGCAGGGGACCUUCGGGCCUUGCGCUAAUAGAUGAGCCUAGGUCGGAUUAGCUUGUUGGUGAGGUAAUGGCUCACCAAGGCGACGAUCCGUAACUGGUCUGAGAGGAUGCUCAGUCACACUGGAACUGGGACACGGUCCAAACUCCAAAGGGAGGCAGUAGUGGGGAAUAUUGAACAAUGGGCGAAAGCCUGAUCCAGCCAUGCCGCGUUUGUGAAGAAGGUCUUCGGAUUGUAAAGCACUUUAAGUUGGGAGGAAGGGUUGUAGAUUAAUACUCUGCAAUUUUGACGUUACCGACAGAAUAAGCACCGGCUAACUCUGUGCCAGCCGCCGCCGUAAAAC
rnacentral:rRNA from 1 species